rnacentral:rRNA from 1 species
CCGAGUGGCGGACGGGUGAGUAACGCGUGGGUAACCUGCCUCAUACAGGGGGAUAACGGUUAGAAAUGACUGCUAAUACCGCAUAAGCGCACAGUACCGCAUGGUACGGUGUGAAAAACUCCGGUGGUAUGAGAUGGACCCGCGUCUGAUUAGCUAGUUGGUAAGGUAACGGCUUACCAAGGCGACGAUCAGUAGCCGACCUGAGAGGGUGACCGGCCACAUUGGGACUGAGACACGGCCCAA